rnacentral:rRNA from 1 species
ACGAACGCUGUCGGCGUGCCUAAUACAUGCAAGUAGAACGCACAGUUUAUACCGUAGCUUGCUACACCAUAAACUGUGAGUUGCGAACGGGUGAGUAACGCGUAGGUAACCUGCCUGGUAGCGGGGGAUAACUAUUGGAAACGAUAGCUAAUACCGCAUAAUAUUAAUUAUUGCAUGAUAAUUGAUUGAAAGAUGCAAUUGCAUCACUACCAGAUGGACCUGCGUUGUAUUAGCUAGUAGGUGAGGUAACGGCUCACCUAGGCGACGAUACAUAGCCGACCUGAGAGGGUGAUCGGCCACACUGGGACUGAGACACGGCCCAGACUCCUACGGGAGGCAGCAGUAGGGAAUCUUCGGCAAUGGACGAAAGUCUGACCGAGCAACGCCGCGUGAGUGAAGAAGGUUGUUGGAUCGUAAAGCUCUGUUGUAAGAGAAGAACGGGUGUGAGAGUGGAAAGUUCACACUGUGACGGUAUCUUACCAGAAAGGGACGGCUAACUACGUG